GACGGAGGGUGCUAGCGUUGUUCGGAAUGACUGGGCGUAAAGGGCGCGUAGGCGGCUCGUGAAGUCGGGUGUGAAAGCCCGGGGCUCAACCCCGGAACGGCAUCCGAUACUGGCGGGCUUGAGACCGGGAGAGGAGGGUGGAAUACUUGGUGUAGCAGUGAAAUGCGUAGAUAUCAAGUGGAACACCAGUGGCGAAGGCGAGUCCCUGGACAAAACCUGACACUGAGGCACGAAAGCUAGGGGAGCAAACAGG
rnacentral:rRNA from 1 species